GGUUGUGGCUCAGUGGUAGAGUACUUGCCUAGCAUGUGUGAGGCCCUGGGUUUAAUUCUUAGCACCA
rnacentral:tRNA from 1 species